rnacentral:lncRNA from 1 species
AUGAGAAGAACUGACUCAUUGGAAAAGACCCUGAUACUGGAAAAGUUUGCAGGCAGGAGGAGAAGGGGAAGACAGAGGAUGAGAUGGUUGGAUGGCAUCACUGAACUCAAUGAGUUCGCGCAAGCUCCCGGAGUUGGUGAUAGACAGCGAAGCCUAGUGUGCUCCAGUCCAUGGGGUUGCAAAGAGUCGGACACAACUGAGCAACUGAACUUCUCACUACUCCUAUUGUCACGUUGUCAUCAUUUCCUGUUUGUUUCAAGUGUUGAGGGUUCAAGCAGUCACAUGUUCUGCUGCAACUGUCAUGCAUUCCCCCGGCUCAUUUGGAAUUCUCUGAGCCACUGACUCUGCCAUUAUUAAGAUGACUUGGUAGCACUGGAUUACAUUCUGAAUGACUGCUGCAACCAUCAUGUACUGUUCUGCACUGGGGUCCUGUUGGCACCAGUGGUGAAGAGCCUGCCUGCCAUUGCAGGUAGACAUAAGAGACACAGGUUUGAUCCCUGGGUCGGGAAGAUCCCCUGGAGGAGGGUAUGGCAGCCCACUCCAGUAUUCUUGCCUGGAGAAUCCCAUGGACAGAAGAGCCUGGUGGGCUAUAGUCUAUAGGGGCACAAAGAGUUGGACACUGUUGAAUUGACAGCACACGCGCGUACAUGUCUCAGAAACUAACAGUGCCUCCUCAAACAAAUAAAAUCCCCUUGCCAUUUCCUGCA